rnacentral:rRNA from 1 species
UAGUGAGUUUGUAUCCUCGGCGUCAGAACGGAACGCUAGGCGGCAUGCCUAACACAUGCAAGUCGAACGAAGCCUUCGGGCUUAGUGGCGCACGGGUGCGUAACGCGUGGGAAUCUGCCCUUGGGUUCGGAAUAACAGUUAGAAAUGACUGCUAAUACCGGGAUGUGCCGAAAGGUGAAAGAUUAAUUGCCAGAAGAAGAGCUCGCGUCUGAUUAGCUAGAUGGUGGUGUAAGGGACUACCGAUGGCGACGAUCUGUAGCUGGUCUGAGAGGACGAACAGCCACACUGGAACUGACG